rnacentral:lncRNA from 1 species
CAUUUGUGAUAUCAAUGUUGCGCCAUCUAUCGUAAGAUUAAAGUCACGCCCAUUUCGAAUACAUUAUUCUUGACCAAUGGUAGCACUUGAACUCUUCAAUUUGGAGGUUAAACACGGUAGCGUCUAGAUUCUACACACUUGGUAAAGCCGGAAACGAAAAUAUACGUCAACAUUCAUGCAUUUGUGCAUGAAACAUACACAGGAACUUCUGUUAGUUGAUUAAAAACAUUCAAGUUGUCACUAAAUAUAGUCGUAUGUUUAGUGAUGUAAAGACUUGUUGCACAAUAAACACGUAGC